ACAAUCAAUGGAUUCUCAAACCCUGCACAAUGUAGAUGUCAAGAUUAUCAUGUUGCUGAUUCUUGUUAGAAGAAGAUGAUGAUAAUUAUAUAAUUGGCAAUACCGUUGGAGACAGAGUUGGUUAUGAGGUCAUAUUUGAUGGCGUAGACGUCUACAUACACGAGGGUGGCAUUUGUCAAAGCAGAUCUUAGUUCUCCACAUGCAACUCUUAGCUGAGUGUUGAACUCUUUUGCAGCGUUGUUGAAGGAUUGGAGGCAUCCAUGAUUGUCAAUGUCACUGGCAUUUGCAUCUGCAUAAGCUGUAGCGAGCUUUUGAGAAACAAAAGAGGGAAUUUGCUGAAUGACUUGUGGAUAAGACAAGUAGGUGAAUGCAGCAGCAAGAUCAUUUUGUCCGAUGUCAAUUGUGUAAAGUGCAUUAUUGAACCCUUCUUCAUCAACCAAGUCUUUAUAACCUACAUCAGUUCAAUUGGCUUAGAAACCUUAGUCAAUAGGAGAAUGAAGAGAUGCUUCCUAUCUAUUAAGGAUGUGCCGUGUGUGUUUAAUCAACUACUACCUUUUGGAAUAAGCUCGAGGGAGCGUGAUUGAAAUUGAAGGAAUUGCAUAAUUUGAAUAUACAAAUUAAAUGGACGAUCCUUUGGCAGAGUAGCUGAACCAGAUAUAGCAAAGUUGGCUCCAUUGGUGAAAUUUGGGCCCACAGAUCGCAGAUAUGGGGUCAAAUAAUCAGAAUUCACACUUUCACCUGAGGAAGAAUUUGCAUUUUAGUAAGAAAAUCAAACUAUUGAGCACUUGUUUUGUUGGAUCAGAGUACGUACAUAGAAAAUCAAUCAUUAAACGUCCAUCGCAUAAUCUUCCUGCUGGUUUAUGGAAGAAUGUACGUCCAGUUGGGAGUCCGAAUUUGAUGCCAAGUCCCUCAGAAAAACCACCAGUAUCAGAAUUCGAGUCACCAAAGUUGAAAAUAACUGGCUUUUGGAUGCACUGGGAAUGAACAAAAAGAGGAUCAGGUAGAGAAAGUAGGAAGAAGAUCAGAAACAAUGGAAAAGGGGAGGAAUCCCUCUUCUCUUCCUCCAUUUCUGUAAUCAGAUUCAUUAACCCUCUUGUUUAUGGUAACUAAUGAUCACAAAUAAAUAAAGAGCAGAGAGACAAUGUCAUGUGUAGUGAGUACUAAAGAUCCCAGUUGCACUCCAUGUGCUCUCUUUGAGAUUUCCUUGGGUCUCAGCUAGUUAAGCACUCAAAGCGUAUUGAAUUCACAAGAAGCCAAAUUAAAAA